rnacentral:rRNA from 1 species
CAACCUGCCGUCUACUCUUGGACAGCCUUCUGAAAGGAAGAUUAAUACAAGAUGGCAUCAUGAGUCCGCAUGUUCACAUGAUUAAAGGUAUUCCGGUAGACGAUGGGGAUGCGUUCCAUUAGAUAGUAGGCGGGGUAACGGCCCACCUAGUCUUCGAUGGAUAGGGGUUCUGAGAGGAAGGUCCCCCACAUUGGAACUGAGACACGGUCCAAACUCCUACGGGAGGCAGCAGUGAGGAAUAUUGGUCAAUGGACGAGAGUCUGAACCAGCCAAGUAGCGUGAAGGAUGAAGGUUCUAUGGAUUGUAAACUUCUUUUAUACGGGAAUAAACGAAUCCACGCGUGGAUUUCUGCAUGUACCGUAUGAAUAAGGAUCGGCUAACUCCGUGCCAGCAGCCGCGGUAAUACGGAGGAUCCGAGCGUUAUCCGGAUUUAUUGGGUUUAAAGGGAGCGUAGAUGGGUUGUUAAGUCAGUUGUGAAAGUUUGCGGCUCAACCGUAAAAUUGCAAUUGAUACUGGCAGUCUUGAGUACAGUUGAGGUAGGCGGAAUUCGUGGUGUAGCGGUGAAAUGCUUAGAUAUCACGAAGAACUCCGAUUG